UUCAGACUCCUGUUCAGCCGCAUGUUCCAAGCUCGUGGAGCCUGCCGCAGUCCAUAGAGGGCCUUGGAUAACCUCUCUCCGUUCAGAAAUGCCGACUUCACGUCUAGAUGGUGUACCUCCCAGCCUUGAUUUGCUGCAAGUGCAAGAAUGACUCGAAUAGUAUCAAGUCUAGCGACAGCUGAAUCUUUCUUCAGUUUGAACACCCAUUUUAGGCCGAUAGGUUUGUGGCCUAAUGGGAGCUCAGUUAGGGUCCAGGUCUUGUUCAUCUCAAUAGUCUUCAGUUCUUCCUCCAUUGCUUCGUACCAGCAAG